rnacentral:rRNA from 1 species
AACGAACGCUGGCGGCAUGCCUAACACAUGCAAGUCGAACGAGACCUUCGGGUCUAGUGGCGCACGGGUGCGUAACGCGUGGGAACCUGCCCUUAGGUUCGGAAUAACUCCCCGAAAGGGGUGCUAAUACCGGAUAAUGUCUUCGGACCAAAGAUUUAUCGCCUUUGGAUGGGCCCGCGUUGGAUUAGCUAGUUGGUAGGGCAAAAGCCUACCAAGGCGACGAUCCAUAGCUGGUCUGAGAGGAUGAUCAGCCACACUGGGACUGAGACACGGCCCAGACUCCUACGGGAGGCAGCAGUGGGGAAUAUUGGACAAUGGGCGAAAGCCUGAUCCAGCAAUGCCGCGUGAGUGAUGAAGGCCUUAGGGUUGUAAAGCUCUUUUACCCGGGAUGAUAAUGACAGGACCGGGAGAAUAAGCUCCGGCUAACUCCGU